AUUGCUAAAACCAACCCAAAAAUUGAUUGCAACCCUAAAAGUAGACCCCAUAUUCAAUCAAUUGCAAACCUAACCUAAAGGGAUGUUAAAACUACUAUUUAGCCCUUGUGACCAAACAAAAAAAACAUAAAAUCAUUUUACUGUUCUGUCCUUCGUAAGUCUACACAUAACAAACAUAGUCUACAUAUCCGUAGACGUCAUACACAGUCUACAUUAUCGACUUAAUUUGUAGUCUACAUUGUAAUUUAAUCUAGUUAAUUAUGUUUAAAAAUAUAUAAAAUUAAUUUUUAUGAAAUUAUUAAUUAAUCAUCAAUGUAAACGUUAAUAUAGAGUUUAUAAACUAAAUUUGUAUAUAAGUGAACAACUAAAAAGAAUAUAUGUUGAUUUGGUAACCAUGUGAGAUAAUGUUUAUGGUUUAGUAAUAAAAUGUCACAUAACAUGAUGUAUCUUUAAAGGUUAGAUUUCUAGGGUUAGAUUUAGAUUGAAUUUUUUUGUUUGUUUAAAUUAACAUAUUAUUACUGAGUAGUUUAUAUUUUGUAAAUUUGAUAUUUGAUACAAUAAUUUCCUAUCAAACUAACAUUUAGGGUUUGAAUUUCGUGGUUUAGGGUUUGAGUUUUGUGGUUUAGGGUUUUGUAGACUUACGAUUCAGUCUACACGAACCAAACUUUAUUGGGGUAGACAGAAAAAGAAGUCUACUCUCAACGAUUUUAACCUAACCGGAGUUAACCAAAUUUAUUUCAAACCAAACAUUUUUUAAUCUAACCUAAAAAUUAACCAAAAUAGAUUUAACCUAACCAACGACAUAUAAAUACAUGUGAACAUUGGUAAAAAAAAAAAUAAGCGGCGCAAUGACAAAAAAAAAGAAAGAAAAAAACCCUAAGCGCCGUUGCUCUUUUUCUCUCUCGGAGGUGGAGGACUAGAGGAUUUCCAUCGAUUUCUUCACGCCGUUUCUGAUGCUUUUGAUCUGAGCCGCACCUUUGCCUAUGUUCUCGUCCAUCUCUAUGCUUACGCUCGACCUCAUGGCGAAGGUAAAGUAGUCCUUGACUUCUUUCGUUUUGAUAACCUAACUGGUAGACUUAUCUCUGUUCUGUCUCUGACCUCCCCCAUUUUGUUGGUUUCGAAGGCUGACAGGUAAACAGAGAUCUGAGCCGGCCAAGGAACGGUGCAUCUUCACGUUCAACUUUCUGCUUCUGGUGACUCUCACGGCAAAGGUGAAGUAGUGGUUGACUUCCGUUUUAAUAACCUAACUAGUAGACUUCUAAGUUUAUCUAUAGACUUGUCGUGUAAAUGCAGACUUUUUUGAAUUAUAGACUUCUCUACCAGUUUAUGAUCCUUCUUGGUAUAUAAAGUAACCACCUUUACUUCUUUUUGUUUUAGAUCUUAGACCGGGACUUCUUCUCACGACUUGUUCUCACGUUAGUGGUGUUGUGGCGUUUCAUAUCUCCGGCGAACUAAAGGUGAUUCAUCUCUGUUUGUAGUUAGUGUAGACUUCUUUUGACUCGUGUAGACUUCUUCGUCCUGCAUACUUAUUUGUUUAUUUGCUGGUCUAGGUUGAUUUGCAUAAUUAUUGGAUAAUUUUGGUAAAAUGGAGCUGCAAGUGUGUCAAAGUUUCUUACUUUGUCCUUAUAUGCUAUGUUCUGUCUUAGAAAAUCAUACUAUAUGUUACACGUUUCCAUUUUUUUUAGUUCUCUUUGUAGUUCUUUUAUACUAUUAAUCUGGUGUUGUAUUAAUUUAGUGUGAGUUACUGAAUAUGUCAAUCUGUUUUUUUUUACAGUUGAACUCUGGAGACUCGGUGAUGAUAGAAGGCAGUUCCUUCUUGAUGCCCCAGAAACAUGUUGCCUCACUCGCUAUGAGCUUUGCAUAGUAGGGAUGGGAAGACUUGACAUCUACAUUAUAAUGAGACUCGCCAGCUGUGAUAUGGUGAGCUGGUCUAGUGAGAGGUGUUUAUGUGGUUCUUGUCUAAUGAUACACAAAAUUUCUGAAAGUAGUUGUUGUUUGUUUGUAGUAUUGUUACAUGUAUUUACUUCUGAGUUUCAGUUUACCAUACUUGUUGUAACAAACAUAUGUAAUUUGCUUGCAUCAACCUUCACUAUAAGUCCAAGACAUCAUGUUUUGUUGAAA